rnacentral:rRNA from 1 species
UACGUAGGGGGCUAGCGUUGUCCGGAAUCAUUGGGCGUAAAGCGCGCGUAGGCGGUUGCUUAAGUCGGAUGUGAAAGCCCUCGGCUUAAACUGAGGAAGUGCAUCCGAAACUGAGCAGCUAGAGUACGAAAGAGGGUCGCGGAAUUCCCGGUGUAGAGGUGAAAUUCGUAGAUAUCGGGAGGAACACCGGUGGCGAAGGCGGCGACCUGGGUCGAGACUGACGCUGAGGCGCGAAAGCGUGGGGAGCAAACAGG